rnacentral:snRNA from 1 species
AUGCUCACUUUAGCAGCAUAUAUCCUACAGUGGCAAUAAUACAGAGAAGAUUAGUAUGGUCCUUGCACAUGAAUGACACACACAUUCUUGAGGCAUUCCAUACUUUA